rnacentral:rRNA from 1 species
AGAGUUUGAUCCUGGCUCAGGACGAACGCUGGCGGUGUGCUUCACACAUGCAAGUCGAGCGAAUGAAGAAGGUAGCUUGCUACUUUUGGAUUUAGCGGCGGACGGGUGAGUAAUAUAUAGGAAUCUGCCCUAGAGCGGGGAACAACAGACCGAAAGGUUUGCUAAUGCCCCAUAGGUACGCAGUCUUCGGAUUGUUUAUUAAAGGAGUAAUCCACUCUAGGAUGAGCCUGUAUCCGAUUAGCUAGUUGGCGGGGUAAAGGCCCACCAAGGCUACGAUCGGUAGUUGGUCUGAGAGGAUGAUCAGCCACAAUGGGACUGAGACACGGCCCAUACUCCUACGGGAGGCAGCAGUGGGGAAUUUUACACAAUGGGGGAAACCCUGAUGUAGCGACACCGCGUGAACGAAGAAGCCUUUUGGGGUGUAAAGUUCUGUCGGCUGGAACGAAAAAAAUGACGGUACCAGCAAAGGAAGCAUCGGCUAACUACGUGCCAGCAGCCGCGGUAAGACGUAGGAUGCAAGCGUUGUCCGGAUUUAUUGGGCGUAAAGAGUUCGUAGGCGGUUAUUUAAGUCUGGUGUUAAAUACUGUGGCCCAACCACAGAACUGCAUUGGAUACUGGAUGACUUGAGUGCGGUAGAGGCGAGCGGAAUUCCCAGUGUAGCGGUGAAAUGCGUAGA